AACGAACGCUGGCGGCAGGCCUAACACAUGCAAGUCGAGCGAGGACUUCGGUUCUAGCGGCGGACGGGUGAGUAACGCGUGGGAAUGUGCCCUUCUCUACGGAAUAGCUCUGGGAAACUGGGAGUAAUACCGUAUACGCCCUUUUGGGGAAAGAUUUAUCGGAGAAGGAUCAGCCCGCGUUGGAUUAGGUAGUUGGUGGGGUAAUGGCCUACCAAGCCGACGAUCCAUAGCUGGUUUGAGAGGAAGAUCAGCCACACUGGGACUGAGACACGGCCCAGACUCCUACGGGAGGCAGCAGUGGGGAAUCUUAGACCAUGGGGGCAACGCUGAUCUAGCCAUGGCGCGUGAGUGAUGAAGGCCUUAGGGUUGUAAAGCUCUUUCAGCUGGGAAGAUAAUGACGGUACCAGCAGAAGAAGCCCCGGCUAACUCCGUG
rnacentral:rRNA from 1 species